rnacentral:tRNA from 1 species
GAGGCUGUAGCUUACAGGGUGAAAGCGAUAGUUUGAAAAGCUUUAGAGGCGGGUUCGAUCCCCGCUGGCCUCAC